rnacentral:tRNA from 1 species
AGAUGGGUAAGCUAAAUUAAGCUAUCAGGUUCAUACCCUGCCUAUGGACAGGAGUCCCCCCUCUA